rnacentral:rRNA from 1 species
GCAAGUCGAGCGCGAAAUUCAACUUCGGUUGGAGAGUAGAGCGGCGCACGGGUGAGUAACACGUGAGUAAUCUGCCCUUGAGACUGGGAUAACAGCCCGAAAGAGCUGCUAAUACCGGAUAAGCUUACACCACUGCGGUGGAGUAGGAAAAGUGGGGGAACCUUCGGGUCCUCAUGCUCUUGGAUGAGCUCGCGGUCCAUUAGGUAGUUGGUGGGGUAACGGCCCACCAAGCCGAAGAUGGAUAGCUGGUUUGAGAGGACGAUC